rnacentral:rRNA from 1 species
UGCCAGCCGCCGCGGUAAUACGGAGGGUGCAAGCGUUGUUCGGAAUUAUUGGGCGUAAAGCGCGUGUAGGCGGUUCGUUAAGUCUGAUGUGAAAGCCCGGGGCUUAACCUGGGAAUGGCAUUCGAUACUGCGCGGCUAGAGUCUGAUAGAGGGAAGUGGAAUUCCAGGUGUAGCGGUGAAAUGCGUAGAUAUCGGAAGGAACACCAGUGGCGAAGGCGACUUCCUGGGCCAAUACUGACGCUGAGGUGCGAAAGCGUGGGGAGCAAACAGGAUUAGAUA